rnacentral:rRNA from 1 species
AACGUAGGUCACAAGCGUUGUCCGGAAUUACUGGGUGUAAAGGGAGCGCAGGCGGGAAGACAAGUUGGAAGUGAAAUCCAUGGGCUCAACCCAUGAACUGCUUUCAAAACUGUUUUUCUUGAGUAGUGCAGAGGUAGGCGGAAUUCCCGGUGUAGCGGUGGAAUGCGUAGAUAUCGGGAGGAACACCAGUGGCGAAGGCGGCCUACUGGGCACCAACUGACGCUGAGGCUCGAAAGUGUGGGUAGCAAACAGGAUUAGAUACCCUGGUAGUCCACACCGUAAACGAUGAUUACUAGGUGUUGGAGGAUUGACCCCUUCAGUGCCGCAGUUAACACAAUAAGUAAUCCACCUGGGGAGUACGACCGCAAGGUUGAA